rnacentral:rRNA from 1 species
UACAGAGGUCUCAAGCGUUGUUCGGAUUCAUUGGGCGUAAAGGGUGCGUAGGCGGCGCGGUAAGUCGGGUGUGAAAUCUCGGAGCUUAACUCCGAAACUGCAUUCGAUACUGCCGUGCUUGAGGACUGGAGAGGAGACUGGAAUUUACGGUGUAGCGGUGAAAUGCGUAGAUAUUGGGAGGAACACCAGUGGCGAAGGCGGCUCGCUGGACCGGUUCUGACGCUGAGGCGCGAAAGCGUGGGGAGCAAACGGG